rnacentral:rRNA from 1 species
UACGUAGGUGGCAAGCGUUGUCCGGAUUUACUGGGCGUAAAGGGCGUGCAGGCGGUUUGUUAAGUCUAGGGUGAAAGCUCCCGGCUCAACUGGGAGAGGUCCUUGGAUACUGGCAGACUUGAGGAGGGUAGAGGAGAGUGGAAUUCCCAGUGUAGCGGUGAAAUGCGUAGAUACUGGGAGGAACACCGGUGGCGAAGGCGGCUACCUGGACCGGUUCUGACGCUGAGGCGCGAAAGCGUGGGUAGCAAACAGG